rnacentral:rRNA from 1 species
GACGAACGCUGGCGGCGUGCUUAACACAUGCAAGUCGAACGAGAGCGUAGAGACAGCUUGCUUUUUCUACAAUCUAGUGGCAAACGGGUGAGUAACGCGUAAACAACCUGCCCUACGGAUGGGGACAACAGCUGGAAACGGCUGCUAAUACCGAAUACGUUCCGAAAGUCGCAUGACUAUCGGAAGAAAGGAUGGCCUCUCUUUAUAAGCUAUCGCCGGCGGAGGGGUUUGCGUCUGAUUAGCUAGUUGGAGGGGUAACGGCCCACCAAGGCGACGAUCAGUAGCCGGUCUGAGAGGAGGAACGGCCACAAUGGAACUGAGAAACGGUCCAGACUCCUACGGGAGGCAGCAGUGGGGAAUCUUCCGCAAUGGGCGAAAGCCUGACGGAGCAACGCCGCGUGAGUGAAGACGGCCUUCGGGUUGUAAAGCUCUGUUAUACGGGACGAAUAAUCUUGUGGUUAAUACCCAUGAGAAGUGACGGUACCGUAAGAGAAAGCCACGGCUAACUACGUG